rnacentral:rRNA from 1 species
UACGUAGGGUGCAAGCGUUGUCCGGAAUUAUUGGGCGUAAAGAGCUCGUAGGCGGUUUGUCGCGUCUGCUGUGAAAUCCCAGGGCUUAACCCUGGGCCUGCAGUGGGUACGGGCAAACUAGAGUGCGGUAGGGGAGAUCGGAAUUCCGAGUGUAGAGGUGAAAUUCGUAGAUAUUCGGAGGAACACCAGUGGCGAAGGCGGCUCACUGGUCCGGUACUGACGCUGAGGUGCGAAAGCGUGGGGAGCAAACAGG